AUUCAGGCGUAUGAGCAGGGGCAUCAGACGAUGUCUAUAUUCCGCGCCCUUUGCGUCGGCUACGACGUUGCGUUUAUGAGCGACGUGGCACAGCGGCUGCCUGCCUAUCUCGCGAGACGGGUCGAACAACAAGUGGUUCAGGAGCCACGGGCUGCCGCCAUCGGGGCAGCUCAUGCUGCCUAACUCUGGCACGUCUUGCUCGGUCGCUAUGACCCCGCG
rnacentral:misc_RNA from 1 species